rnacentral:rRNA from 1 species
UACAGAGGUCUCAACCGUUGUUCGGAUUCAUUGGGCGUAAAGGGUGCGUAGGCGGUCGUGCAAGUCGGAUGUGAAAUCUCAGGGCUCAACCCUGAAACUGCAUUCGAUACUGCGUGGCUAGAGUGCUGGAGAGGAGACUGGAAUUUACGGUGUAGCAGUGAAAUGCGUAGAGAUCCGGAGGAAGACCGGUGGCGAAGGCGGCCUGCUGGGCAGUUUAGCUGACACUGAGGCGCGACAGCGUGGGGGAGCAAACAGG